rnacentral:rRNA from 1 species
GUAGUCAUAUGCUUGUCUCAAAGAUUAAGCCAUGCAUGUCUAAGUAUAAGCAAUUAUACAGUGAAACUGCGAAUGGCUCAUUAAAUCAGUUAUCGUUUAUUUGAUAGUACCUUUACUACUUGGAUAACCGUGGUAAUUCUAGAGCUAAUACAUGCUAAAAAUCCCGACUAUUUGGAAGGGAUGUAUUUAUUAGAUAAAAAACCAAUGCACUUCGGUGCUCUUUGGUGAUUCAUAAUAACUUCUCGAAUCGCAAGGCUUCAUGCUGGCGAUGGUUCAUUCAAAUUUCUGCCCUAUCAACUUUCGAUGGUAGGAUAGUGGCCUACCAUGGUUUCAACGGGUAACGGGGAAU